GCCCCUGUGAUGGAAUUUGGUAUACAUAGCAGGUUGAGGGCCUGUGCCUUAAUUGGCAUGCUGGUUCGAGUCCAGUCGGGGGCA
rnacentral:tRNA from 1 species